rnacentral:rRNA from 1 species
GAUGAACGCUGGCGGCGUGCCUAAUACAUGCAAGUCGAGCGAACGGACGAGAAGCUUGCUUCUCUGAUGUUAGCGGCGGACGGGUGAGUAACACGUGGAUAACCUACCUAUAAGACUGGGAUAACUUCGGGAAACCGGAGCUAAUACCGGAUAAUAUUUUGAACCGCAUGGUUCAAAAGUGAAAGGCGGUCUUGCUGUCACUUAUAGAUGGAUCCGCGCUGCAUUAGCUAGUUGGUAAGGUAACGGCUUACCAAGGCAACGAUGCAUAGCCGACCUGAGAGGGGGAUCGGCCACACUGGAACUGAGACACGGUCCAGACUCCUACGGGAGGCAGCAGUAGGGAAUCUUCCGCAAUGGGCGAAAGCCUGACGGAGCAACGCCGCGUGAGUGAUGAAGGUCUUCGGAUCGUAAAACUCUGUUAUUAGGGAAGAACAUAUGUGUAAGUAACUGUGCACAUCUUGACGGUACCUAAUCAGAAAGCCACGGCUAACUACGUG